rnacentral:lncRNA from 1 species
CCAACCCUUAAAUUCCUAACCCCCAACUUAACCUAUCUCUCCGAUUUUCAAUUUCUUCCAAAUCCAAUCGUUCCGAUUUCUUGCAUUCCAUUCCGGCAUUGGCGACCGCGCCUUCUUCAUCUUCCGACGAGUGCGAAUUCUUCAUCUUCCGGCAGGCGCAGUGAGGACAGUGAUCGAGUUCUUCAUCUUCCACAGUGAGGACAAUGAGGGCAGUGAGGACAGUGAGGACUUGGUGAAUUAAAACCCCCCUCCGGUGAGUUCUAUGACAUCCUCCGGUUUAGUUUUAUGUUCUUGGUGAAAAAUAUUUCACAAUACAAUCCUCCCUAAAUCACAAUCACAAUAUUUAUCACAAUACAAUCCUCAUUUAAAAUAUUUCUCUGUUUAAAACCCAAUCAUAUUUCUCCAAUAUGAUUGGGUAUUUCUCUGUUUAAAAUAUCAUGUAUUUAAAGUUCUGUUGUUUGAAGUACUACACUUGUUCUAUUUUAAAUCAUGGGUUCUAUUUUAAUCAAAAGUUCUGUUACUUAAAUCAUGGAUACGUCUUUAUGUUUCUAAAUAUAGAGAAUUUUACAGUGAUUUGAAUGGUUUUUUUGCUUUAUUACAGGUCGUGUUUGUAUUCCAAUAAUUGUUUGAGUGAUUUGAAUGAUUUUGAUCCAACAUCUGUGCCUAGCAUCUCAGAGUUUUUUGUUUUAAUUUAAUUGUAUUUGAAAUGGGUUUUCAUAUUGUUUUUUAUUUCAAAAGUUGCUGCAUCUGAUUCUCUUUCCGAUGCCGAUUGCAUUUUUAUAAAUUUCGAAAAGAAAUUUUGUCUGAACUUUGAAAUUGAACUGUAAUUUUGAUUUUCAAUCAUUUCUUUGUAAAAUAAGUUUUUCUGAUGCUCUGUAAUGUUAGUUUGAUAUUGGGUUCAAAAUUGACAUACCCGAAUCCAGAUUAGAGAACCAUAUCCAAAAAUGUUUCUGGAUUCUCCUCCUUAUUUGAUUAUUAAACUACAUAUAAUUAUCCAUAUUUAUUUAGAUAUAAAUCAUGUAAUUAUUAAACAAAGUAUUUUCAGAAAAACUAAAUAAUUAUGAAUACCAAUUCUAGAGAAUUAAACAAUUACCCUUAACAAAAAGUUAUAAGAAUAAAACAAUAAACCAAAGGCAAUUAGGCAACCAUUCUUAUUUUUUUAACAAUAUGCACUAAGUGCAUCUAAAGUUCCAAAUUCAAGUACAUUAGAAAAAUAGUGAAAUUUAGUUAUCAAAAUUUCCAACAAUGGAGAAGGUAAUUAUGUAAUGAUCUUAUCAUUAGGAUUUUGGCAACAUUGUAUUACUCUCUAUUAACAUAUGGUUCUUUUCAUCAUACUCUCUAUUCACAUUACUCUAAAUUAUUUCUUUUAUGUCGUAUGUUUAUUUGCAGGUUUAAUUUUAUGUUAUAUAUGUUUCGAGUUAGUUUCAGGUGUGCCAAAGCGCGCAUACGUCGAAAAAAAUUCGAUCGUUAGAUUCUAAUCCGUCGAUUGACGAUGCACUAUUUAUCAACAACUAAAUGAGUUGUGCGUCGUAUGUUAUGAUACGACCCGCACCUCAACUAGGUGUCUCAAGAAAACUCUGACAAAGUGGGUCAAUUACGUUUCCGACAACUUUAUAUUUACGUUACUUGCAUGUUUCCUUAUUUUAAUUAUUGCAUGGUUGAUUAGUUUCCGUGUUCUAUUAUUUAAUUGUUAAUUGGUUAUUUUCAUUGCAUGAUGUCCUUAUUUGCAUGGUUUCCUAGUUUAGCAUUAUUAAUUUUAUUACGAUUGUAAUUCAUAAUUAUGGAAAGUAGAUCAUAUAUUGAGUCUGUAUGGUCUAUUUAAACCAUUUUCGUCGAGUUAUUUAUCAUCAACAAUUUCAAUUCAAUUCCAUUUGUUACGUCCGAGCAUCUUCCCGGAUACGAAGCGUAUCAACUUGGUGCUUUCAAUA